GUAUAUUUACCUGAAUGACUGACUAACAACUCAAGUGGAAAAUCUUUUUAGAUCAACUAGAAGAGUAUAAUGUGUCUCUGCUUAAAAGAAGAACUUGAUCCUUUUGUGUUAAAAACAGUGAACCAGACGAUCAGACGAGGCAAGAUCAUAUUACGAGUCAUCAAUGAAGCUGCGUUGGAAAUACUUUUAAACCAAGCUAAAGUUUGAUUAGUGAUAUCUUUUAAGAUGGAAGCAAAAUGGAAGAGAUUUAAAACCCUGAAGUAACAACAAUGAUACAUAUCUGGUUAAGAAAAGAUCACUUUUAUGCAAAGAAGAUGGAAUCAUGAUGCGAAUGGACAAAGCGUAAGACAUUUAACAACAAAUCUACUUACUAUGUUACGCAUACCUGAGUAAGAAUGAAAAUGAUUAUAAAAUUUAUUAAAUGAAUCUAAA